ensembl:lncRNA
AUUGGGCGAAGGAGGCAGGACAAACUCAACUCACCUCAGCAAGAUGAGCGCAGAAGGUGUCUGUCAGACCUAAUUUGGAUGAAACCUCUCUUCUCACCUUCAAUAAGCUCUACGUGUCAUCUCUGAGCCAGGUCCUUUAGGAAUCUAUGCCUGCCACUGUCAGUUGGCAUUCUUAUCCAGGGUUAACUGGUUUUUCUCUUCCCAACCCCGCUCUGUCUUUCCUUUGUGUUGACUUGUCUUCCUAAACAGUUGUCUGAAAACCCACCCUCAGGGCCUCCACUGAUAGCUUGUUUUUACGUUUCCCAAAGCAGAGCUGUGCUUUGCAUUACCCCACUACACAAAUUGAGCCAAUGUUCUCUGUAGCACCAAAGACUCACUUUCAUUUGAGGGUUGUCUUUGCAUUCCAUCUGUUCACUCUCAGUGUAUAAAUUCCACUAAGUCUUUAACAAGCAGGCUCUCUCAUGAGCAGAGGCUGAAUUCUGCAGUAAUCCUUUUAGAAUGCACGGAGGCUGGAUCCCCAGAAUCUGUAUGAAAAAGGUAAGUAAAGUGUUUGCACAGACUUAAGCCAAGGGCAACCGUGAUGAUGAUCUCCUAGAAAAAGUAAAAUUUUCCCAAUGCCUCCGGCCAGGAAAUCAAGCCACUUAUCAUACAACAAUAUCAGAAGCACCCUGAAAUAUUCUUCUGACUAAACCUGUUCUCACACUGAGCAUAUCUGAGUGCCUGGCUAGUAUUAGAUUCUAGAUUAUUAAUGUACCGAGCAGGAUCUGCUUAAUGACUGCCCUGUCUUUAUGUAUUUACAGAAAAUCAAUUCUCUCAUAAGGAGGAAGAAGACCAAGGCCCGAUAGGCCCCAGGCUCACCGCAGAGCUGCCAGAGGUGGAAGAGGAUACCCCAUGUGACUCUCUGGAUGAAUGCUAUUUGACUUAUUCGGCCCUUCCUGACCUGUCUGACUCCCUCGGGACUUGUAGCAAGGCUGACAUCACCUCAUUCGAAGAUCUGGACAUCUGUUCUGCUCUGGAAGUAGCUAGUGAGUCCUCCAUUGUCAAGGUGAUAAAGCUCCAACUGGACUCCCAAGCUGACCCCCUAUUUUUGGGAUCCCAACCUCUGGUUGUGCAGAAAUGUGUCAUCGCUCUGUAGAAGCCCAGUAGACAUAAGGAUCUGAGUCAGGCUCUAGGAUACACUUUUUAGCACAGACCUCAGGUGAGUCAGGCACCUGCCCUUUGUUCCUCAUCUCAGGCCAUGCUUAUGGCUUCUGACAGAAGUUAGGACAUUCGAUUCAAGGCAGAUUGACAGCUCACACUCACUUGUGCUCCACAUGCAGAGGUCUCUGUCUUUGUUCCUGAUUUCCAUUAAAUAUCUCUCUUCAUCUGCAAUGUUCUCAUUUUCAUAGCUGAAUAUUGUCUCUUGAAUUUUUGUACCUGUCCAAAGAUGUUGGCAGCCUUACCUACAUCUUUCGAUUUGUUGUUUCCCUGCCUGACUGCUCUGACUCCCAGUGUCUGUGUCCUCUAUGUUGGCUGUCUACACUGAGUUGUCAUCAGAGUAUCAGGUCAUCAACACCUCUGCCAUCAGCUUGCUCGUAGGUUUCCUUGAAGCACAGCUGAUUCUGGCCUUUGCCCCUCCCAUGCAUGGCUCAUAUGUCUGUAAGCACAAAGAAUUGUACACAAAAGGUUUCUUUUGACAUGAGGGUUUGCAGAUUCCAUCCAUCAGUCUGGUCUCUGUGUCUAAAUUCCCUUAAACCAUUUAUCUCAUGGCAUAAGGUAAUGAGAGAAGGUUGCACUAAGUUUUUAGAAUGUAGGUAAGCUGUUCCCCAGAAUCUGUGGCAAAACACAC